rnacentral:rRNA from 1 species
CUUAGUGGCGAACGGGUGAGUAACGCGUGAGCAAUCUGCCUCAGAGUGGGGGACAACAGUUGGAAACGACUGCUAAUACCGCAUAAGCCCACAGCACCGCAUGGUGCAGCGGGAAAAGAUUUAUCGCUUUGAGAUGAGCUCGCGUCCAAUUAGCUAGUUGGUGAGGUAACGGCCCACCAAGGCGACGAUUGGUAGCCGGACUGAGAGGUUGAACGGCCACAUUGGGACUGAGAUACGGCCCAGACUCCUACGGGAGGCAGCAGUGGGGAAUAUUGCACAAUGGGGGAAACCCUGAUGCAGCGACGCCGCGUGGAGGAAGAAGGUCUUCGGAUUGUAAACUCCUGUUGUUAGGGACGAUAAUGACGGUACCUAACAAGGAAGCACCGGCUAACUACGUGCCAGCAGCCGCGGUAAAACGUAGGGUGCAAGCGUUGUCCGGAAUUACUGGGUGUAAAGGGAGCGCAGGCGGGCAUGCAAGUUGGAAGUGAAAACUAUGGGGCUCAACCCAUAGCCUGCUUUCAAAACUGCGUGUCUUGAGUAGUGCAGAGGUAGGCGGAAUUCCCGGUGUAGCGGUGGAAUGCGUAGAUAUCGGGAGGAACACCAGUGGCGAAGGCGGCCUACUGGGCACCAACUGACGCUGAGGCUCGAAAGCAUGGGUAGCAAACAGGAUUAGAUACCCUGGUAGUCCAUGCCGUAAACGAUGAUUACUAGGUGUUGGAGGAUUGACCCCUUCAGUGCCGCAGUUAACACAAUAAGUAAUCCACCUGGGGAGUACGACCGCAAGGUUGAAACUCAAAGGAAUUGACGGGGGCCCGCACAAGCAGUGGAGUAUGUGGUUUAAUUCGAAGCAACGCGAAGAACCUUACCAGGUCUUGACAUCCUUCUGACCGCUCCGUAAUGGGAGCUUUCCUUCGGGACAGAAGAGACAGGUGGUGCAUGGUUGUCGUCAGCUCGUGUCGUGAGAUGUUGGGUUAAGUCCCGCAACGAGCGCAACCCCUAUCUUCAGUAGCCAGCAGGUAAGGCUGGGCACUCUGGAGAGACUGCCAGGGAUAACCUGGAGGAAGGUGGGGACGACGUCAAAUCAUCAUGCCCCUUAUGAUCUGGGCGACGCACGUGCUACAAUGGCGGUCACAAAGUGAGGCAAACCCGCGAGGGGGAGCAAACCACAAAAAGGCCGUCCCAGUUCGGACUGUAGUCUGCAACCCGACUACACGAAGCUGGAAUCGCUAGUAAUCGCGAAUCAGAAUGUCGCGGUGAAU